GACGGGGGGGGCAAGUGUUCUUCGGAAUGACUGGGCGUAAACGGCACGUAGGCGGUGAAUCGGGUUGAAAGUGAAAGUCGCCAAAAAGUGGCGGAAUGCUCUCGAAACCAAUUCACUUGAGUGAGACAGAGGAGAGUGGAAUUUCGUGUGUAGGGGUGAAAUCCGUAAAUAUACGAAGGAACGCCAAAAGCGAAGGCAGCUCUCUGGGUCCCUACCGACGCUGGGGUGCGAAAGCAUGGGGAGCGAACAGG
rnacentral:rRNA from 1 species